CCUUCCUGGGAAAGUCGAUUUCAGAGUGCUGAACAGAAGGGUAUGAUCGCUCAACCUCAACUACAUGUGGUUUCAUCCCUGACAUUUACUCAGCUCUAAACUCUUGUAAAGGUCCUGGAAGGGGCACGGGAGUUAGCCCAACCGGUCCACAUGUGCUUGUGGGCUUGGAAAAGGCAUUUGACCGUGUCUAUUGCAAUGCCCUGUGGGAGGUGCUCUGGGAGUGCAAUAUUCUUUGCAUGCUACUACGUGCUUUUCGGUCCCUGUGCACAUGGAGCAGAAGACUAGUUCUUGUUGCCAGCAGUAAGUUAGUCAUGUUCACUCCAAGCAUUGGUGGAGGCCAAGGCUGCACUUUGACAACAGUUCUGUUAAUGAUUUUCAAGAAAUUAAUUUCUUUGUGCAGCCAAUAUGUAAAGGGUGUACAGUUUGGGGGCCUAAUGAUCUUGUCCCUGCAAUUUCUGCAUGAUGUGGUCCUGAUUUUCUCAUCAAGCUGUGACCUUCAGAUUCAGAGCUGUGUGUGAAACUUCUAAGAUAAGGCUCACUAUCUCUAAAUUGAGGCCUCGGUUUUUUCAGCCAUUUCAAAUACUGACCGACAAACUGAGGACCUCAGUCAUUCGGUAGGAGCUCAGAAUAGAGCCUCUGCUCUUUUGUAUCGAGAGGAGCUAGUUGAGAUCGAAGUUGCAUUUAGUCGAGAUGCCUCCUGAACACCUGCCUUCCUGGAGACACAUUUGAGUUGUUGGGAAAUUGAAUCCAAGGGAUUAUUUUAACUUGUUGUGGAUAUUUGAUAUUCUGUGGUAUAUCUACUAAUAAGGAGUUUGAAAACAUACCUUUUGCCUUUGAAACCUGGCAUACAUGUACAGUUAGCUCCCCAGAGCCCGUCGUUGCAAAUUCCAUCAUUUGCACAAAGCACAUCUUUACCACACUGUAGUGGCGGGUAGUCCCACCUGUUGAAACAAUCAGGUCUAUUUUAAUUAACCUGUUCCUGGUUUACUGUCCGCAAAACAACUUUAAGCAUAUAAAUGAUACCAUGACACAAUUACAUGUACUAUACAGUGUAUAAGUGUACUCACUGGCAUAGUGGCCCACUGUAACCCUUUGGGCAUAUACAGGUGUACAUGUUUGUUCCGUCUUUACAGGUGGCGUCAUGUUCACAAAUAUGGUGCUCACAUUCAUCCAUGUCCACCUCACACAGUGGGCCGGCAUAUCCAGGGUGGCAUAGACACUCAAAACCAGCAAAGUAGUCCUUACACUUCCCAUUAAAACAAGGCUGAGAUACACAAUCGUCAAUAUCCGUGUCGCAUUGUUCCCCCUCCCAACCGAAGUCACAUUCGCAAUAAAACUUAUUAAAGAUAUCGUUACAAGUUGCUCCAUUUAGACAAGGGUUGGAAUUACAAACAGGUGCACUACUACAACCCAAUUUAAUUAUUUGCUUCCCAAAUAAGUGGAACUGAGACAACUGUGGAGUGUCGUAGACAUCGACAAAAGGAAGAAAUACUCCUCCAACCCUUACUGCACUCAAACAGCCAGUAAAGCUCUCUGCUAUGAAUGACUGAAACAAUGUCAGCCCUGAGGUAUAUCAGGCCUUACAGAUGUUGGGACGAUGAAGAAUAUGAUGAUGCAAACCUGCUAGCAAGCAUCAGAACAGGAUAUCCAUACAUCUCUGUGCCAUGUCUGCCUUAGCAUCGCCGGUAAAAUGUGCAGACCAAACGAUCGGGACUUUCGCAUCUUGUGACACUGGAGCAACUUAAAUCCGUCGAUUGAUGCUUGGGGAAAUGCUGCUGAGGAAACACAAGCUGGGUGUAUAUGGAAGAGGAGAUGGAAGAGCAGGGAAGUCAGGAAAUGCACCACUUGAUGAAUACAUUUCCUUUUCAUCAUCGUUGCUCCAUGCGUCCAACUCCAAAUGUACUGAAUCCAAACGGACGUCCUGUAGGCAGCCUUUGUAAUGUCCGCCCCAAGGGUUAGAGUCCCAGUGUUCAGGAAGUCCACCCAGCCCUUGCUCCGGAUGGAGUCUGGACAACUGGAUGUACUUGAUGCUGAACGCUUCCACCCUUCAUCAGCUGAGGGUGUGUGGCUGAGAGACGUCGCUUUUUUUUCCAUGUUUUCCUGCACGAGACACAGAUGGACUCUUCUCCUGACCUCCUUGUACCAAGAGUUUGUUAUUUUUGUCUAGGGAAUAUCCAUUUUCUGGAGACUGUGGUGACGUUCGCCCCUUUGAGUUCCAAGCAGCUGCCUUUCGCAUUUUGCUUUACCGGGUGGCCUUUGUCAUUUUUCACUUGACAGGGGGAGUCUCAGCUUUGUCUGCGGCCGAGUGGAAUCAGGGGUUAACCGUCUGCUCUUCCUAUGCUGCAUCUGCUAAAUCCAGACAGCCACCCCUCCCAUACUGUUCUACCUCUAAUUUCAGACGCUUCUACCAGGGUUCAAUGCCCUUGGGGCCUUGCUGACGUGCCGUAGGGCAUUGGUCCAAUACAGACACUCAGAUCACUACACCAAUAGACUCUCGAUUAGACAAUUGCUUUAUUAACUCCACUUUUGUCAAAAAUUGCUAUUCCUGCUGAAUCACCAUUUUAUAAGGUAGUUCGUCCUAUGGAUGUGCGUCACAACGCUAGUGUUAAAUUUCAUAUGAACAAUGGUUCCCUCCACUUGUCCAGUAAUCAUCAUGAGACCAUACUUUUUUGUGAUUUCCUCUCUAUCUGCACCCUUAGUUCUAGGGCUUACGCGGCUAAGUAAACAUAAUCCCUAUAUUAAUUGAAUAUGUUUUUUCAUUCACACUGCUUCAUAUCUGCGUUUCUGGCCACAUCAUCUCGCAUUGCCACACCAGAAGAGAUUGCUAUUUCACUACGUUCCGUCCUCCUAUUAUGAUCUUCGGGGGAUUUUUUUUUUAGCAAAAAUAGGGCUUGCUUACUUCCACCUCAACAUUGUAUUGGUCUCGUACCGGGCACCAUCUUACCAUCUUUAUACCUUACGAGCUGUCUUAUCAGAAGGAGUGUAUUAUAGGAGUAUUUUUCUUCCGGCUCGCUUCAGCCGUAAUUUGCAGACAUUUUUUAAAAUCUAGAAUAUAAACAAAUCUGUUCACCCGAGUAUAGAUUAUCACGCCCACAACAACAUCACUGUUAAAAAUAAAUAUUCAAUAUGUUUAUUAGAUAAGAUUUUUUUUUACAAAAGUUAACCAGACUUUUCCAGAUUUGAAAGGGAGUUGAGUGGCAGACUGCCUUCCAAACCCCUCUCGGACACUUUGAGUACCUCGUCAUGUCCUUUGGUCUCACUAAUACCCCCGCAUAUUGGAGAGGCACAUCCAGCACAUGUGGUUAGUCUUGCAGAGGCCCUUCCAUAAUAGGCUUUUUGUUAAGGUCGGGAAGUGUUCUUGUUACUGCACAUCUGUUUCAUUUUUGGGUUUCUAGUGGAGGAUGAAAUGAAAACCGAUCAAAAUAAGAUCGGGUGGCCCACUCAUACAACCAAGAAGCAGCUUCAAAGGUUUCUUGACUUCAAUAAUUUUUAUAAACUCUUUAUUCUGAAUUUUAGCCUAAUCGCUGAACCCGUAACAAGGCUCACACCGUCUAAAGCUACAUUUAUGUAAACCCAUUGGUGGGCGGUCAGGUCCUUCAAGGACUUCUCUGCUGGACUAACAUAAAUCAUGAUCAUAAAUUGAGAAAAGUUCAUUUAAUUUGAUUUACUUCACCUAAAUAUAUACAAUUAUAAAUCAUAUUCUCUUUAUGUCAUAUUAAGCUCCAGUGUUCCUGUUUGUACGUCGGAGCUUUUAUCCAAUCAGAAUUAUGCUAGCUUGUUUUGCAAGCACUGUAUGAACUCUGCUGGAGGCAUUCUGAAUCAGUUUUUAUUCGAAUCAUCUAAUGGCCAUCACACGACAAAUUACAUUUGAAAGUUGGCUAAACUGUCACCUGAAAAUCCAACAGGACAGGUACAUGCGAAACUGUUGUCUUGAUCGUGACAAGUGGCUCCAUUCUGGCAGGGCUCAGAAUCACACUCAUCAAUGUUGACGGUGCAGUUCUCUCCUGGAUUUUUAAAUAAACACGGUGACUUAGGACUGAAA